UUUGGUGGUUGCCUCAGGUGCAAUGAGACAUCACAUUUCAGCCCUGCAUAUAUAGAUGGGUGAUGUGUAUCAGUCUAACAGUAGACACAGACUUUUACAUUAACUGUAAACGUCUCACUGCUCUGUUUGAAAACAGCUUUUUGUCUCUGACCCUGAAAGGAUGAAGUUAACUGCAGUGUUUCUCGUGCUGUCCAUGGUCGUUCUCAUGGCUGAACCUGCUGAUGGUUUUAUUGGAUGGCUAAUUAAAGGCGCAAUCCACGCUGGCAAGGCGAUCCACGGCGCUAUCCGCCGCCGCUUUGGAGACGCGCAGCAAGAGCAGCAGCAGCAAGAGCAGCAACAGCUUGAGAAACGUGUUCAGUUCCUUCGACUUGGCUGAAACGAUGUUUUGGAUGAAAUAAGACGCUUCUUGCACUUCAAAAUGAGAAAGAAAAGUAUCUACUAAACUUCUUGGCGAUACAAAUGUCUUGGUUUAAUACAUUUCAGAUUGUUUUAUACAAUUUGGUGGAUGGUCAGUUGUUCAGAAUAAAUAAGCAUUGCAACAAAA